UGUUAUGGAGUCAAGGCUAAUGUUUCAUUUGAUGAUAGCACUUUUCAUUUAACCCUUAUUUUGAAUAGAUUAUCAUAUAAUUGUGUAAAGAUUGAUAACUAAAUAUUUAUGAAUGUUCCUUCAAGCUGUGUUUAUUUCACUCCUAACCGAAGCUCACCCUGCUAUCUUCCUCUGGAGAUAACACCUUAAGGAUAUGGUAUUUAACCCAGAAGGUCAGCCAUUUUUAUAUCUAAAAAAAAUAUAUUAAUCCAAAGAGCUUUUCUCUCUCUUUUUUUCAAUUGUCUAUCUGAAUUCAUGGAUAUUUUUUAUUGCACAUGGAAAUAAUCUUAAACUGCUCUAUACUUACCUGCUUCUCUGCCUUCCAUAAGUCAAAAAUAGCCACGUCAUCACUGGCCACAAGGACUGGAUCAGCCACUGUCCUCACUGGCCACAAGGACUGGAUCAGCCACUGUCCUCACUGGCCACAAGGACUGGAUCAGCCACUGUCCUCACUGGCCACAAGGACUGGAUCAGCCACUGUUCUCACUGGCCACAAGGACUGGGUCAGCCACUGUUCUCAUUGGCCACAAGGACUGGGUCAGCCACUGGCCACAAGGGCUGGGUCAGCCACUGUUCUCACUGGCCACAAGGACUGGGUCAGCCACUGUUCUCACUGGCCACAAGGACUGGAUCAGCCACUGUUCUCACUGGCCACAAGGACUGGAUCAGCCACUGUUCUCACUGGCCACAAGGACUGGGUCAGCCACUGUUCUCACUGUCCACAAGGACUGGAUCAGCCACUGUUCUCACUGGCCACAAGGACUGGAUCAGCCACUGUUCUCACUGGCCACAAGGACUGGGUCAGCCACUGGCCACAAGGACUGGCCACUGUUCUCGCUGGCCACAAGGACUGGAUCAGCCACUGGCCACAAGGACUGGAUCAGCCACUGUUCUCACUGGCCACAAGGACUGGAUCAGCCACUGUUCUCACUGGCCACAAGGACUGGGUCUGCCACUGUUCUCACUGGCCACAAGGACUGGGUCAGCCACUGGCCACAAGGACUGGAUCAGCCACUGGCCACAAGGACUGGAUCAGCCACUGUUCUCACUGGCCACAAGGACUGGGUCUGCCGCUGUUCUCACUGGCCACAAGGACUGGAUCAGCCACUGGCCACAAGGACUGGAUCAGCCACUGUUCUCACUGGCCACAAGGACUGGGUCAGCCACUGGCCACAAGGACUGGCUCAGCCACUUCUCACUGGCCACAAGGACUGGGUCAGCCACUGUUCUCACUGGCCACAAGGACUGGGUCAGCCACUGUUCUCACUAGCCACAAGGACUGGGUCAGCCACUGGCCAAAAGGACUGGGUCAGCCACUGGCCACAAGGACUGGGUCAGCCACUGGCCACAAGGACUGGGUCAGCCACUGUCCUCACUGGCCACAAGGACUGGGUCAGCCGCUGUCCUCACUGGCCACAAGGACUGGGUCAGCUGCUGUCGUGUCUCAUCAGACUGCAGCAUGGUGGCAUCCUGGUUUGACAAAUUUAGACCCCAUGACUCAACAUGCCUGACUGCUCCAAAGCAGGGAAAAAUGUGUGAGUUUGGGAAUAAUGAGAGAAUAUUUAUUGGCCUCCAUUUUUAAUGAAUUUGAGUUGUUUGGAAGUAUUGACUAAUGAUAGCACAGUCAAGGGAUUAUUUAUUUUAACAGCCACUAGGCAAGUCAGUUAAGAACAAAUUCUUAUUUACAAUGACGGCCUACACCGGACAACGCUGGGCCAAUUGUGCACCGCCCUAUGGGACUCCCAAUCACGGCCGGAUGUGAUGCAGCCAGGAUUAUUGGCAUCCAUUUGAAAUGUAUGAGUUAUUUGGAAGUAUUGAAUAACUAAUGAUAGCAGUCAAGGGAGGAAAGCUUAUUAUUUGCCUCCAUUUGGAAAGCAUAACAAAAUCGUGGAAAUAUUGUAUGACAGAAGUGACGGGACUUUCUAGGGCCCUGAGGUGAUGCAUCUUUCAUUCUGAUCUUCUCUGAAGUUAGAGUUAAUUUAACAAUGGUUGGAUAGGUGAAGGCAAGGGUUCGACUGUGGUUUAGACAAAAAUCAGUCAUGUCUGAUCAGCUAUUUGUCCAAGGAAAUCUCUCAGGAUGUCAAAAUGCUAAUGCAAAUAGUUAAGUGACUCAAACCUGCAACUGAACUCUUAAAAGUCUUGAAUCCUAACAUUAUUCAGGUUAAUAUACCUCAAUGUAAUAAAAUUACUUAUCAAGAACAAAACUAUAUUUUUGCGCUAGAGGUAUAUUGUAUGAUAACUAUUAUAGUGUGUAUUUUGUUAUUUAAAUGUGUACAUUUACUGAGAGUAAAUCUAAAGCUUGCAUUGUGUACAGUAAAUUGGUCUAUUGAAACCUUAUUUCAUGAAUUUUGUACACCGCCUACAAAAAGACAGAUUACAUAAGAAACCAUUUUAUUUGACAAUCAAUAUCAAAAUGUAAAUACAGACAGGAAUAUUGAGCAGACAAGCACAAGUAUGUUUUUAUGAAGUUAGUCUUGAGUGAAAUGUCUUUUUGUGAACAAAAGGGUAUGAAGGCCUUUAAUUCAGUUAGCACUAACUCAACGAACCAUGGUCUUGACCAGCAAUGUAUAAAUUGCAUCAGGUGUGUUAGUGCUGGGCUGGAAUAAAAGCCUGCACACCCUGUAGCUCUCCAGGACCAUGGUAGGUGACCUAUGUGUACUAGACGUU
ensembl:lncRNA